rnacentral:rRNA from 1 species
AACGGCCGUACCAUGCUGAAUAUACCGGUUCUCGUUAGAUCACCGAAGUUAAGCAUCAUUGGGCGCGGUCAGUACUUGGGUGAGUGACCACCUGGGAACACUGCGUGCCGUU